UUUCCGUAGGUGAACCUGCGGAAGGAUCAUUACCAAAAGUUAAUCUUCCCAUCCCAAAAGAUCUUUUCCAUCGUUCUGGCUUUGAUUGUGUUGUCACUUUAUCGCCUAAACAUGAUGUUAUGCCGGCCCUAAAAAACAUUAUACCUACCUUAUCAAAUUUGACUGAACAACUCAAACAAUCGAUAAUUUUGUUUAAAAACAACUUUCAACAACGGAUCUCUUGGUUCUC
rnacentral:misc_RNA from 1 species